AUGAAGACGCGCAAAAUGCGCAAAUCGCCCGAACCGCAGCCGGCGGGUGGCGGAUCGAACACGACCAGUCCGACGUCGUCUCCGUUGCCUCAUCCGGAAUUGACGGUGCAGCAGAAACAACAUUUGCGCGAACGCAAUCUGCAACAGCACGGCGCUGGUGGUCAUCACGCGACGUCAGUCGGAUUGCCUGUCCAGUACACGUCGACGGGCAUCCCCAUCCGGCCAUUUUUGACGCGAGGCUCCGUCGCCGAGAGGGUUCUCAUUUUUGAAAAAUGCCCGACAACCAUCAUGACGGAAUCGGCCACCAAAUCGGACAAGGUGACCUCUGCUGCCACCGCCGCGACGGCAGAAAAAACGAAACGGGCCGGCAGCCCAGCACCGCAGCCUUGGCGACACUCCAACGACGUUCAGACUCGAGUGCAGGGCUAUGCCAAGGAUAACAACAAAGAAAACCGAUCUACAUCGACGAGCAUUUCGUCGCCCAGGUCGACUCUUCGCCGCCAGGCGAAAGCCAACAACAAUCUUCUUUUGCCCAGAUUUUACUACCCAACGGGACGACCCAUCAGUAAAGAACAGCUGGAUGCCUCGCUGUUAAGACUGGCCGCCACGUUUCAACAGCUGCCUAACUGCCAAGCCAGUCGUGAGCACUUUGGAACCAUCGCCAAGGCUUGCGGCUGCCCUUAUUACUGGAAAGCCAUCUUGUUUAUCGCAAGCGGUGGCGAAAAGCUUGGACAUGUUACGCUGGAAACCUUCACCGACUUCUGGGGAAAAAUCAUCAACAACUAUCACGACGAAGCUUCGCGAUUUGUUCAACUCCUGACCAUGAUCAAUCUGAAUGUGACCGUGAGCAGAACAGACAACAAUUUAAACACAUCGAUGAACAACUGUACCGGUUCUGGCCGGUUCUAUCUAAUACCAGAGGAUUUCGUACCUCUUGUGCAAGACGUGGUCGACACCCAUCCGGGAUUGACCUUCCUCAAGGAGGCGGCGGAAUUUCAUUCGCGCUACGUUCACACGGUGAUAGCCAGAAUUUAUUACAAUGUCAACCGAUCCUGGUCAGGCCACAUCACUUUAACCGAACUGCGCCAUUCGAAUCUGUUGGCUACCAUUCGCCUACUGGAAGAAGAGGAAGAUAUUAACCAAAUCACUGACUACUUCAGUUACGAGCAUUUCUACGUCAUCUAUUGCAAGUUUUGGGAACUCGAUAAAGAUCACGACCUCUUUAUCGAUAAGAAAGAUCUGGCUCGUCACAACGAUCACGCGUUGUCUUCUAAGAUGAUUGACCGGAUAUUCUCUGGAGCGGUCACUCGUGGAGUUGCCCAUAAUAAUCGAAUGGUCAAAUUUGGCAAUACCAACACCAAUAUGAACAAUCAGCCGCGUAUGAGUUACACCGAGUUUGUCUGGUUCCUCAUCUCUGAAGAAGACAAGAGACACUCGACGGCUAUCGAGUACUGGUUCAGGUGUAUGGACCUGGACGGCGACGGUUUCCUUUCAAUGUACGAACUGGAAUAUUUUUACGAGGAACAAUUGCAACGGAUGGAAUCUUUAGGCAUAGAAACAUUGCCAUUUGAAGAUUGCCUGUGUCAGAUGUUAGACAUGAUUCAUCCGGCUGUGCCCGGUAAAAUCUCGCUGAACGACCUCAAACGUUGCCAGAUGACACCCAUCUUUUUCGACACGUUCUUCAACCUGGAAAAGUACCUGGAUCACGAACAACGCGAUCCGUUUGCAUCGCAACGCGACCCCGAUUCAGAGAAUGGCGAUGAAAUACUCAAAAUUUCCGACUGGGAUAGAUACGCUGCCGAAGAAUACGAACUCCUUGUGGCCGAAGAGGGUGGACCGGAUCACGGCGAAGACAUGCUCCACGAUACAACCGUGUGAGAGAGAGAGAGAGGCACACGAUGAUUCGUUUGCUAGUGUUGGUCGUGAGCGCGGUUCAUGCGGGAAGAAAUGGCCACAGGCGAAGAGGACGGCAACGACCAUUCUUCUCUUCCCUUAUCGAUGGAACGUGACGUCAUUAUGGCCGAUUCAGAUGUUAACGACGGCCAUGACGAUUAUUCGCCCUUGUCGGUCCAU
rnacentral:misc_RNA from 1 species